rnacentral:rRNA from 1 species
UACGAAGGGGGCUAGCGUUGCUCGGAAUUACUGGGCGUAAAGGGCGCGUAGGCGGAGUGCUUUGUCGGGCGUGAAAUUCCAGGGCUCAACCUUGGGGCUGCGUUCGAGACGGGCAUUCUAGAGUGGAGAAGAGGGUCGUGGAAUUCCCAGUGUAGAGGUGAAAUUCGUAGAUAUUGGGGAAGAACACCGGUGGCGAAGGCGGCGACCUGGUCUUUUACUGACGCUGAGGCGCGAAAGCGUGGGGAGCAAACAGG